GCGGAGGGGUCUGGAUAGCGCGAGGCCGGGUCCCCAGCAAUGGGAGAGCUGCAGAACUGAAGCAGAGGAGGUCCGCCUCUCUGACAGACAUCAAGAGUCCCCCACGCCGCGCACCUGGUGGACGCGGGGCUGCAGGCUGGCGGGGUCCCGGGAUGCAGCAGGCUGGCAACCCCGGCUCUCUCCUGCCGGGAAUGGCCUGGUGACCUUGGGCCGGCCCGAGUGCAGGAACACUAAGAAAUUCAGAUGGAAAAAAGUACUAAGUAAGAGUUCGCCUGGUGCUGUUGAACUUUGGAGGUUACAAACCACUGUAAAUGUCUUUCAUUGCUUCCCCUAAGAUGAUUUUAACCAGCUGGAUGUCAGUAUUCUUGAGAAAUGCAACCCCAGUGAUCUACGCAUAUGGAAGGAGAGGUUGGGACUGAGACCGAAUCAUUGGAAGGCACUGGCUCCCACAGUCAUGGAGCUUGACAAGUCCUAAUACCUGCUGUUGGCAGCUAGAGACUCAGGGAGCCAAUGGUGUGCGUCCAGCCCAAAGCCCCAGCUUUGAGUCCCAGGAAGAACUGAUGUGCCAGUUUGAGUCCAGAGGUGGGAGAUGGAAACAAGGGGCCAUCUCCAGCUCAGGGGCACUGAGGCUGGGAGCUCCCUCUUUUCUAUUUGGGCCCCUCUGUUCUAUAAGGGCUUCAACUGAUGGGGUGAGGCCCACCUACACAGAGGAGCGCCAUCUGCUGCUUCAAGUCUGCAGAUGCAAAGGUUAACCUCACCCAGAAACACCGUCACUGACACGUCCGGGAUGUCUGACCUGGUGUCCAGGUGCCCUAGGGCCCAGUCAGCCUGCCACAGAAGUAGCCAUCGCAAGGGAGAAUGCAGGACCGCAGGGCGAGACUGUGUCUGCGCACUCUGAGAAGAGCUUGGACUGGCAGAAGCGCAAGUGUCCCAGGAGGUGCGGCCCUGGGCCUGAGAGGGUCCUGGCCUGGAGGUGGCCACUCAGAUGCCUUAGUGACCCUGGAGGGCUCUUGGAACCGACUGUCAGGAAAAGGUGGCAUACACUGGAUAUUUCUGUAAAAGUUAAGUUUUAUUGGUCAGGGCGCAUAGCUGGGUUGCAAGUUCAGUCCCCAGUUGGGGCACCCGCAAGGGGCAACCGAUUGGUGUGUCUCUCUCACACUGAUGUUUCUCUUCCCCCCGCCCUCCCUUCCUUCCUCCUCUAAAAUCAAUAAACAUGUCCUCAGUUCCUCAAGGCGCACAGCUAGACCGGUUCGAUCUAUUUCACUGUGGAUAUCUACAACAACAGCACCCCGGGCACUGGCUUCUUGUAUCCCAUUCAUUUAGUUCUCCUGAACGUUCAGACCCUGAAAGCCAGUCAUGCCCUCCAGCAGUGUGGUCCUCCGUUGGCCAUUAACAGCCGGCAACGUAACUGAAAGGAUGGACUAACGGAAGCACGCUCUUCUGAAUGCUACACUCGGGAAAGAUGAACAAGUCACGCGACAUGAACAAAUCUCACAAAUACUCAGCAAAAGAAGCCACUCCUCUCCAAAACACACAAAUUAAAUGAUCUUACCCAUUUAAACUUCAAAGAAUAGCCAAAAUUAAAUUAUGUCAUGCAGGCUCUAUGUUCUGCUAAUUAAACUCUA